UGCCCAGCAACUCCUAUCCCUACCUCCUCGUAGUACUGGCCAAGGUACGAGUAACCUUAGGGAAGAUCUGGUAACCAACCCCGGUGGGAACUUUGGUCGUAUGCUGACAGGGAAGG
rnacentral:ribozyme from 1 species